rnacentral:sRNA from 1 species
AUUAAACCGCGUGAGGGAUAGUAGUGGAGCUCCUUUUUCUUGAAUUGCCUCGAGUUUAAAUCCGAGGCAAUUCAAGAAAAAGAGCGGGAACGAAUAGCCUGACCCUUU